rnacentral:rRNA from 1 species
GUCCACGCCGUAAACGAUGGACACUAGGCGUCGGGGGGAGCGACCCCUCCGGUGCCGUCGCUAACGCAGUAAGUGUCCCGCCUGGGGAGGUACGGCCGCAAGGCUGAAACUCAAAGGAAUUGACGGGGGCCCGCACAAGCGGUGGAGCAUGUGGUUUAAUUCGAAGCAACGCGAAGAACCUUACCUGGGUUUGACAUGCUGGUGUAAGCCGGUGGAAACAUCGGCCCCUCUUCGGAGCGCCAGCACAGGUGCUGCAUGGCUGUCGU